rnacentral:rRNA from 1 species
AACGAACGCUGGCGGCAGGCCUAACACAUGCAAGUCGAGCGGACCUUUCGGGGUCAGCGGCGGACGGGUGCGUAACGCGUGGGAAUAUGCCCUUCUCUACGGAAUAGUCCUGGGAAACUGGGGGUAAUACCGUAUACGCCCUUUGGGGGAAAGAUUUAUCGGGGUAGGAUUAGCCCGCGUUGGAUUAGGUAGUUGGUGGGGUAAUGGCCUACCAAGCCGACGAUCCAUAGCUGGUUUGAGAGGAUGAUCAGCCACACUGGGACUGAGACACGGCCCAGACUCCUACGGGAGGCAGCAGUGGGGAAUCUUAGACAAUGGGGGCAACCCUGAUCUAGCCAUGCCGCGUGAGUGAUGAAGGCCUUAGGGUUGUAAAGCUCUUUCAGCUGGGAAGAUAAUGACGGUACCAGCAGAAGAAGCCCCGGCUAACUCCGUG